ACGGGUUGUUGCUGGUCCUCAACGGGGACAUGUGCACGCUCUGUUUACACAUCCACUCACACCUGUGCACCCUCCGUAGUUCUGUGGUCUGGGGGACCCUGUCUUCCUGCCGUGGUUCUACGUCUUUACACACACACUGUAAUAAAGUCUUAUGGAAUGUAUGCCGCGUCUAACGCAAUACAAUACAACUUUCAGCAACGGAUCUCUUGGCUCUCGCAUCGAUGAAGAACGCAGCGAAAUGCGAUAAGUAAUGUGAAUUGCAGAAUUCAGUGAAUCAUCGAAUCUUUGAACGCACCUUGCGCCCCUUGGCUAUUCCGAGGGGCAUGCCUGUUUGAGUAUCAUGAACACCUCAACUCUCAUGGUUUGCCGUGAUGAGCUUGGACUCUGGGGGUUUUGCUGGCCUGCGGUCGGCUCCCCUCAAAUGAAUCAGCCUCCCAGUGUUUGGUGGCAUCACGGGUGUGAUAAAUAUCUACGCUCGCAGUUGUCCGCCAGGUAACCUUUGGUAACAAAGGUUCGCUGGAGCUCACAGAUGUCUCUCCUCAGCGAGGACAGCUUUUUGAACGUUCGAUCUCAAAUCAGGUAGGACUACCCGCUGAACUUAAGCAUAUCAAU
rnacentral:rRNA from 1 species